CAGGCUUUUGAAGGAGCCUGGGCUGCUGCCUGCAAGCAGGGGGCAUCUACAGUUCUCGUACCACCAGAACUAGAGUUCCUUGUUGGGCCAAUUUCGUUCUCUGGGCCUCACUGCAAACCAAACAUUGUUUUCCAGCUGGAAGGAACAAUCCUAGCUCCAACCAGUGCUAAAGCCUGGGGUUCUGGCUUGCUCCAGUGGCUUGAGUUCACCAAACUAAAUGGAAUAGUAAUUCAAGGCAGUGGCAUCAUAAAUGGCAGAGGGCAACAAUGGUGGACCUACUCAGACCCAGAGGAUGAGGAUGAUGAUGACACUUACGAUGUGGAGCUCGAUAGAAUGCCA